rnacentral:rRNA from 1 species
CACCGCGGUUAUACGAGAGGCUCAAGCUGAUGAUAACGGCGUAAAGAGUGAUUAGAGAACAGAAUGCUAAAGCUGAAAUAACCCUAGGUAGUAAAAUACUUUGCGGGGAGAGAACGCCUAAAACGAAAGUAGCUUUAACACGCUUGAAUUCACGACCCUUGAGAAA